AUACGGAAGGUCCGGGCGUUAUCCGGAUUUAUUGGGUUUAAAGGGAGCGCAGGCGGCACUUCAAGCGUGACGUUAAAUUUCGGGGCUCACCCCCGUUGUGCGUCGCGAACUGUUGUGCUUGAGUAGGCGGCAGGGGGGCGGAAUUCGCGGUGUAGCGGUGAAAUGCUUAGAUAUCGCGAGGAACUCCGAUAGCGCAGGCAGCCUCCCGUUGCUUUACUGACGCUCAUGCUCGAAGGUGCGGGUAUCGAACAGGAUUAGAUACCCUGGUAGUCCGCACUGUAAACGAUGGAUGCCCGCUGUUGGGCCUUUUGGGUUCAGUGGCCAAGAGAAAUCGUUAAGCAUCCCACCUGGGGAGUACGCCGGCAACGGUGAAACUCAAAUGAAUUGACGGGG
rnacentral:rRNA from 1 species